UGGCACAGUGGUACUGCACCUGCCUGGUAAGCAGAAGGUCCUGAGUUCAAUUCCCAG
rnacentral:tRNA from 1 species